ACGAACGCUGGCGGCAUGCCUAACACCUGCAAGUCGAACGAGACCUUCGGGUCUAGUGGCGCACGGGUGCGUAACGCGUGGGAACCUGCCCUUAGGUUCGGAAUAACUCCCCGAAAGGGGUGCUAAUACCGGAUAAUGUCUUCGGACCAAAGAUUUAUCGCCUUUGGAUGGGCCCGCGUUGGAUUAGCUAGUUGGUAGGGUAAAAGCCUACCAAGGCGACGAUCCAUAGCUGGUCUGAGAGGAUGAUCAGCCACACUGGGACUGAGACACGGACCAGACUCCUACGGGAGGCAGCAGUGGGGAAUAUUGGACAAUGGGCGAAAGCCUGAUCCAGCAAUGCCGCGUGAGUGAUGAAGGCCUUAGGGUUGUAAAGCUCUUUUACCCGGGAUGAUAAUGACAGUACCGGGAGAAUAAGCUCCGGCUAACUCCGUG
rnacentral:rRNA from 1 species